rnacentral:rRNA from 1 species
UGUGUAGGUGGAUGUGUAAGUCAAGCGUGAAAUCCCACGGCUUAACCGUGGGCCUGCGCUUGAUACUGCAUUUCUUGAGUACAGAAGAGGAGAAUGGAAUUUCAGGUGUAGCGGUGAAAUGCGUAGAUAUCUGAAAGAACACCAGUUGCGAAGGCUAUUCUCUAUCCUGAUACUGACGCUGAAACACGAAAGCUGGGGGAGCGAACAGGAUUAGAUACCCUGGUAGUCC